CUUCCUGAGGAAUGAAGCCAGCAAUCUAUAGCCUGAGACCUCUCAAACUACACAGAGCACCAAGAGGCCUUGGAAUUUCCUGAGUGACCCAAGCAAAAAUCUUCAUUCUAAUAUGGUGACUCUUGGUAGGCCCCUAGAUAGCCUCAGGUUGAGUGUUAGUUACCGGAAAGACCCAGGCACUAUUGGUGGGUUGAAACUUUCAAUCCCACCUUUGACCUCCACAGAAGGGAGAGGUUUUGAAAAUUGAGUCAAUCGUCAAUAGCUAAUAGGAAUUUGAUCAAUUAUGCCCAUGUGAUUGAAGCAUUUGUGUGUUGGUGAAUACAUGGGAGUACUAGGAGGGUGACGUGCCAGGAAGGGCAUGGAAGCUAUGAGCCAACCCCCAUGUAUUGCACUACGUAUUUCUUCUCUCUGGCAGUUCCUGAGUUAUUUCCUUACAGUAAACCAGUAAACAUAAGCAAAGGAUAUCCCUGAAUUAUGUAAGCCAUUCUAGCAAAUUAUCAACCCUGAAGAUGGUAUCUUUGAAUCCCAAUGUAAGCUAGUCAAUCAAAAAUAGAGCAGGCCUGCCACUUGACUGGCAUCUGAAGUGUGUAGGGUCCUGCUCUCAUUUGGAACUUAAUAGUUGACAUAUGGGGUCUUCACUUACUCAGGUAGUUAGUAUCAGAAUAGAAAUAAAUUUCUGGAUUCCCAGUUGGUGUACAGAGAGUUGGUGAAUUGUUUGAUGUGAGAAUGAACACCCACAUAUUUGAUGUCAGAAGUGGUGUGUGUAAAAACAACUAAGUGCAAACAUGAUGGCACUCUGUCUCUUCUUUCAGUGCUCUCUGAGUGAUCCUUUUCAACUUCUCUUAGUGGUCGCUAUUUGUCUUUCAGAACCCUUUCACUAGAAUGCCCCAGACUACAGGUCUCUCCGUCCUUCAACAGCACUCGCUCUGUGAUCUCAUCCAGUUCCAAGCUUCAGAUAACACAACGUACUACAGGUUUUAAGUGCAUAUCUCCAACCUGUCCCUUGGAUUCCAUAUUUGUCUAUUAGACAUCUCAAAAAUAACACUUCUAAAACUUAA